rnacentral:rRNA from 1 species
UACAGAGACUGCAAGCGUUAUUCGGAUUCACUGGGCGUAAAGGGUGCGCAGGCGGCCGUGUGUGUCAGGUGUGAAAGCCCGGAGCUUAACUCCGGAAUUGCGCCUGAAACUACAUGGCUAGAGCAUUGGAGAGGGUAGCGGAAUUCACGGUGUAGCAGUGAAAUGCGUAGAUAUCGUGAGGAACACCAGAGGCGAAGGCGGCUCACUGGCCCGAUACUGACGCUGAGGCACGAAAGCGUGGGGAGCAAACAGG